GGGGCAACCAGACCAGGAGAAUGCUGGGAUAGAAAAGAGAGGGAGGCCACCAAGAGAUACCAUUGCUGCCACAGGAGUAACAGGCCGGAUUACAGGGCCACUGUUAGAGCAGGAUUGGACUCGAGAGCCAGAGGCUCUGUAGCCAGAGGCCUUGCUUCAAGCUGUGGUUUCUCCCACCCUCCAAAGGGCGUUUGAAAUAUCUGGGACAAUACUGGUUAUCGCAGUCUGGAGAGGGGAACUGCUGCGGGCACUUGGAUCGCAAAGAUGUCACUCAUCCUAAGACAAACUCGGAGAAACACAAACUCGAAUUGCAAAAUAUCCCUUGUGGAACUGUAAAAGUUGGAUUACAUAUUGUCCCACUGGGUCCUCCCUGACUGAAGGAAAACCAGUAGAAGAACAAAGAGCAAAUAAAAGAAGACAGCACUCAUCACAGACUUGUAGAACUCAGAUGUGCCACGGAGAGAGAGACAGCCUGGGUGCGCUUCAGAACUUGGCAAGGUUAUUUGUGCUGUUUAGUAUAAAACAAAGCAAAUGCUUGCUUGUGGCAUCAUGACUUCCUCCAGGCCCCUGCUGGUACUACACGGAUAAAAGUGCUUUUGGAGUAUGCUCCUGGUCUACCAGCAACAGCUCUCCCUGAAACACCCAGCUUGACGGCAGAGAAUGGCUGAGUGAAGUUAGCAGAGCAUCACCCCCCCCCACACACACACACACAAAGAUGGCGCGUGCAGAGUUUGUGAAAGCGGAAGAAAGGGAGAGGAAGGACAAGCAGGAGAAGACGGAACUCUGCAGUGCAGGGGUGCAGCUGGAGUCCAGAAAUGAUUUUUUCCCCGACAAAUUUAGGAUUUUGCCGCAGUGUACAUCUGCAUUCCCAGAAUCCUCCGAAAUGCUAAGAGACAUCGACCUCCGCAUCCUUGGCUUGUCACCAUGGGUCCCCAUUGCUUCCUACGGUAGCCAUUGAGAAACACUUCCCUAGGACGGUAAAACCAAAGGCCCGGAGAACACGCACCUUCAAGCGUGAUGGAGGAUGGUGCCAGCGUGACUGAAGGAGCAGGCCAUCUCCAUGGCCAUCACUGCCUGCCACCUUCGUCUUCCCUCCUUUGCUCUGUAGCUGUACGUGCGCUGUGAGCUCUGCCGGGUGGGUCUCUGCGGAAUCCGCCCAGUGGGUCCCUAGACGGUGUCAGUAUGAGGGAAUAAGCAGACACGUAGUCUGACAAGAGGUAUUUACAACUGCUUAGCCUGUUCAGCUGGAAAUUAACAAAAAAGAUGACACAACCCCAACACGAUGUUUUACAAAUCAAAAGUCUGGAUCCAUAAAUAGCCCACUUGACAAACGCAGGACAAAAAGCCGAUUGUGAUAUCUUUGCCUGGCAGUUUCCCCGUUAUCAUAAAGAAAUUGUUUUUAAUAGGUCUUCUUAGAGAAUCAGUGUCGGCAGUUUCUGAGUGCAGGGAAUAUUGCUACAUUUCUGCUGGGAAAGGAUCCUUCCUUCCCAGGGGAAUCGGGAUGGAAUCCAGUGUGGACCACACCCUAAUUUUAGUUUGUUUUCCCAUCAUUUCUGCCUAUUGUCAAGUAGCGUUGACUCACAACUACAGUUUUACUUUAAAUGAAGGCAUUCAUCAAAAGCAGUGAUCAUCGGCUGUCCUCUGAAGCGAGCUCAUUGUUCUAGGUGUGUA